AUGAUCACUCAUCUAGAGCCAGACAUCCUGGAAUAUGAAGUUAAAUGGGCCUUAGAAAGCAUCGCUAUGAACAAAACUAAUGGAGGUGAUGGAAUUCCAGUUGAGCUAUUUCAAAUCCUGAAAGAUGAUGCUGUCGAAGUGCUGCACUCAAUAUGCCAGCAAAUUUGGAAAACUCAGCAGUGGCCACAGGACUGGAAAAGGUCAGUUUUCAUUCCAAUCCCAAAGAAAGGCAAUGCCAAAGAAUGCUCAAACUACCACACACUUGCAUUCAUCUCACAUGCUAGUAAAGUAAUGCUCAAAAUUCUCCAAGCCAGACUUCAGCAAUACGUGAACCAUGAAAUUCCUGAUGUUCAAGCUGGUUUUAGAAAAGGCAGAGGAACCAGAGAUCAAAUUGCCAACAUUCGCUGGAUCAUCGAAAAAGCAAGAGAGUUCCAGAAAAACAUUUAUUUCUGUUUUAUUGACUGUGCCAAAGGCUUUGACUGUGUGGAUCACAAUAAACUGUGGAAAAUUCUGAGAGAGAUGGGAAUACCAGACCACCUGACCUGCCUCUUGAGAAAUCUGUAUGCAGGUCAGGAAGCAACAGUUAGAACUGGACAUGGAACAACAGACUGGUUCCAAAUAGGGAAAGGAGUACGUCAAGGCUGUAUAUUGUCACCCUGCUUAUUUAACGUCUAUGCAGAGUACAUCAUGAGAAACGCUAGACUGGAAGAAACACAAGCUGGAAUCAAGAUUUCUGGGAGAAAUACCAAUAACCUCAGAUAUGCAGAUGAGACCACCCUUAUGGCAGAAAGUGAAGAGGAACUAAAAAGCCUCUUGAUGAAAGUGAAAGAGGAGAGUGAAAAAGUUGGCUUAAAUCUCAACAUUGAGAAAAUGAAGGUCAUGGCAUCUGGUCCCAUCACUUCAUGGGAAAUAGAUGGGGAAACAGGGGAAACAGUGUCAGACUUUAUUUUUUCGGGCUCCAAAAUCACUGCAGAUGGUGACUGCAGCCAUGAAAUUAAAAGACGCUUACUCCCUAGAAGAAAAGUUAUGACCAACCUAGAUAGCAUAUUCAAAAGCAGAGACAUUACUUUGCCAACUAAGGUCCAUCUAGUCAAGGCUAUGUUUUUUCCAGUGUUCAUGUAUGGAUGUGAGAGUUGGACUGUGAAGAAAGCUGAGCGCCGAAGAAUUGAUGCUUUUGAACUGGGAUGUUGUAGAAAGCUCUUGAGAGUCCCUUGGACUACAAGGAGAUCCAACCAGUCCAUUCUGAAGGAGAUCAGCCCUGGGUGUUCUUUGGAAGGAAUGAUGCUGAAGCUGAAACUCCAGUACUUUGGACACCUCAUGUGA
rnacentral:lncRNA from 1 species